GCAGACCGUAACUCUAGUUCUCCCCUAGGCUUCACACAAAAAACUCGAAAAUCCUUUGUGUCAGGACCGACGAGACUCCCACGUUACUGUACGAGACGAUAUCCCAACUGUCUGUCGCUGUCUCGGCUCAUAUUUUCGGUUCAUGCCGGACUUCAGCGAGAAGGCUGUGAGCAUCUCCUGCUGCGGUGCAGUGAGGGUGGGGACGGGGCUGGAAGAUGGAGUUGGAGCGGGAGCGACGAAGGCUCUGCGGAUCUCCUCUGUUGUUGCCAUCCUGAUGAAAAGCUGGUCGUUCACGAUGCACAGACUGGCACAGGAGGAACACAGACGAUCAGAUUUGACUGUUUCAGGGAAAAUGUGAAUGACAACAAAGAUAUAAUAAGAACCAACCAAACUUACCCGGUACUUCCCGCUGGGACUGUAAUGAAAACUCGAGAGAAGGCCAUGGUGGACUCUCGGGAUUUACCAUCAACAGCAACUGAAAAACAGACAUGACACUAAUUAGGUAACAGAAUCAACAACACUCAACUUUGCAGUGUUUAAAUACAUGUCGACGUACAAAACUCACCUUCUUUAAAGACUCCGCUCACUGUGAAUGAUAGCAGUGUGUUCUGUAAACAGAAAACAUUUUUGCUGAAUGAAUACAGAGAAAUGAUCCCCAGUGAGACGAGAAGGCUAAUGAUGAGCUGGCUGACAAAAUAAACUCACGGUGUAGGUGUUUACAUCGACAUUAAGGGAGGCAAUGUCGUGCUGAGUUUUGGGCAACUCGUUGAGGAAAGCCACAACGUUUAGUCGUGUGUGCUUCAGAAGUCGAAAACGUAUGGCUAGGGGAGGAAAAAUUCAGAGAAGAACAUAUAAGAAAAAAUCUCAAAUCACAAAAAUGUGCACUCAAUGAUUCAGACGGUGUGAAAGGUCAACAGCUCGAAAUGGGAAACUCACUGGAAUCUUUGAGCCUCUUCAGGUUUCGGCUGUCUUUAUGAUACUCUCCCAGACUGCUCCUAGAACCAGAAGUCAGGGACAGAUUGAAUCAAUGUGAACAUAGCAGGGACUCGGAUCAGGGCAGGCAGUGAUGGGUGGAGCUACAUACACAAAUCUUUAAAAUUAAUUACUUAAUAAAGCUCUGACAUUCCGUCAUGUGUUAAUCAGUGUUAGGUGUUUACAGAAAUGUGUGUGUUCUUACCUGGAGGGGUUCUGGGUGGAAUAAGGUGUUGUGAGGGAUAACGACGCUCCAUCAUGGUAAGCAUCCAGGAGCGGCUGUCUGUCCCCCGAGUCGUAUAUACUGUAGUACCUGCAAUACAGUAACUUCAGUAAGUCUUUUUGUGUUUGUCCCUGUGACAGACCCUUUUCUGGAACUGAAGUACCAAAAAUAGCAGUGCUGGUUAAUCAGUCACUAGGCUGGGUCACAUUAAGGCUGGAGAAGCACUGAUCAACUGACUGUUGUAAGAAGAUCCUCUACAUAAAAGGCUAAAUACUCACUGUUGCAAGAACCGAAGGAUGAGAGCCUUGAUUUCAUCUGAGCCAAAACAGCUGCCCUGCAUCAUCAAUUGGAAAAACAUUUGUCAGGUACAUAACAGAGACAGCGACUGGCUUAUGACUGCAGCUUAAACAUACACUUCUGAAGUGUGUUACUAAAGAAAUGAAUGUCUUGGAGAGCGCCUACUAACUGUCAUGUACACUACAAGACAUCAUCAAUAAAUCAGUUUGAAUAGAAGUAUACAAUCAAUGAGGUAAAAUAAGUAACCUUGCAGGGGGGGAUAGUGGUGGGCGUUUCCACAUCGAAUCCAAUGGGUGGGGGGAGGUCAUCACCAUCCUAAAAAGAAAACACACGAGAGAAAAUAUGAGUGGACUGCAUCCACAUACUAUAAGUUUAUUACACAAAAUGUAUUAUUUCAAGAAAACACACAAUAACUUAUUAAAAAAAAGGAAACAAGGCUGUGUUAUUAGAGGCAUAAAAAUAGAAACAAACAAAGGAAGGCGCUCUUUUUUUCAGCGAUAGUAGGGUGCCUUAACUAUCAAAUGCUGUUUGUGUGCUGUUCUGAUGACUGCUUCUAUUUAGGCUUAAACGGAUCAAAUUGGUGCAAUGUCAACAAAUCCUUAAAAACAAGAUAUUUAACCUGGGCCCAUGUCAUUUUCAUGCUGUACUUUUUUUUGACUUACCAGUUUGAGAAUCCGGGGGAACCUCUGCCGCACAGCACUGGUACAGGAACAAAAAUCAGGAGCGGUAAAGUUAUCAUCACAAACCACCCCAUACACACACACAGAUAAAUCAUGCUCUUUAAUGUAGAUACCACUGUCAGUCAUGUCAUUUUGCGCUCUUCAGUUGAUGUAAUUUAAAAAAAAAAAAAAAA